rnacentral:rRNA from 1 species
CCUACGGGUGGCAGCAGUGAGGAAUAUUGGUCAAUGGACGCAAGUCUGAACCAGCCAUGCCGCGUGCAGGAAGACGGCUCUAUGAGUUGUAAACUGCUUUUGUACGAGGGUAAAUCCCGAUACGUGUAUCGGGUUGCAAGUCUCUUACGAAUCAGGAUCGGCUAACUCCGUGCCAGCAGCCGCGGUAAGACGGAGGAUUCAAGCGUUAUCCGGAUUUAUUGGGUUUAAGGGGUGCGUCGGCGGUUCGAUAAGUUAGAGGUGAAAUCCCGGGGCUCACCUCCGGCACUGCCUCUGAUCCUGUCGGGAUAGAGUUUAGUUGCGGUAGGCGGAAUGUAUGGUGUAGCGGUGAAAUGCAUAGAGAUCAUACAGAACACCGAUUGCGAAGGCAGCUUACCAAACUACGACUGACGUUGAGGCACGAAAGCGUGGGGAGCAAACAGGAUUAGAUACCCUAGUAGUC